GACAAGGGUUGAUAUGGCUGUGUGGCCAGAGGAGUAGUUUUGCCUUCCUGCCUCCCACGGCAAGGGCAUUCCCCCUAACACUCUAACACUACCCUCAGUCAAAAGGAAAAUCUUUCCAGGUGAAGAAGAUCACUCCUCAUCAUGGGCAUAAAGCAUAGCUGAGCUCCCCUGAUAGAACCUCUAAAUACGCUCUUGAAGAUAGCAGAAAGAAACAAAAGGAAUAGCUGAGUGACCAAAGUGCGAUUUAAGACCACUACAGUAGUGUAUAUGU
rnacentral:sRNA from 1 species